rnacentral:SRP_RNA from 1 species
GCUGAGUUGGGUUACUCCAGCUUGUGACACAAGUGGGAGCAUCAUUGUGAUGGAACAACAUUGAGACUUGCCUUGGUUGGGCUGUGUAUGCAAUAUGUUGGCCUGCCCAUUCCAAGUUGAGAGUAGAGUCCGGGACUUUAGUGAAAACUACGGUCUCUUGGCUCUUAGAGAGGAGGGCAUAGCGUGAGGCUGGUUUCACAGAGCAGUGAUCCCUCCACUGUUGGGAGUGGGAGGUGAGUCUAUUCUGCUUGGACCAUCACUUUUAAUUUUUUAUGCUAUAGUAUG